ensembl:lncRNA
AGUAAGAUGAAGACGUAUGAGUCCAUUUUAACGAUAAUAUGAUGUAUGUUUGUGUGUAACUGCUGUAGCUUGCAGGUGACGCAGUGCGUAUGACUCAGAGGGAGAAAGAGCGCUUACAGGAGCUCCUCAAGGACAUAGAAGAAGAAGAGGAGGCUUAUGAUGACCCACUGGCCAACCCUGAGCUUGCAGGUGAUGUGGGGAGUGGAGUUUUGACUCAGAAAGAAAAAGACAGAUUAAAUCAGCUCCUCAGUGACUUAGAAGAAGAAGAAGAAGAAGAAGAUUAUGAUGACCCACUGGCCAGCCCUGAGGCAGACUUUUCACUGUGGACUGUGCCCACCACAUCUGGUGAGGGUUACACGCCCCAGCCGGCCGAGCUUGACCAGCUCCUUCAUAUCGAUGCCAGACUGCAGCUCCUACUUCCUGUUGAGGACUUCUUCUGUGUGAGAAGCCCAUAUACUGACCGCAGCCUGACCCAGGUUCUACCUGAAGAGCAGCUACAGCGUCUGCUGGAGGAAUGUCAGACGGCCGUGAGCAGAUGUUCUCGAUUAAGUACAGAGGAUUCUUGCCCUGCGCCGUACUGCGCUCUGGAAGGACCCGAGGUGUCUCUGCUGGCCAGCAUGCCCUGCCUGUCCAGUUCUGCUCUCUCAGAGCUCAUGCAGGAGAUCUGUGAGGGUGAACAUGAAGAGACCCGGGACUGAGAACUGAGAGCUAUGAUCAGCGUGUGCAGGCUGUGAUAUAAUAUUAAUGAUUGAUUCUAGACUCUGAUUUGAAAAAAAAAAAGGCAUGAGUCUACUAGACAUCUUAAAUGGUGUAAAUUCUCAGAUAAAAAUUGUGUUUUGUUAUUUUUACCAAAAUAUUAUUGCAAAAAUUGCAAAAAGCAUUGCCAUACUUAUGUAAGAGUUACACCUUAAACUAAAAAAAUGAAAAAAUCAUGAAGAAAAAUGGAAAAAAGUCAUUUAUUGCAAUUUGAUUUAUGAGCAGAACAUUCCAGUCAUAUUUUCCCCAAAGUGCUUCUCCUGCUGAAGAGCUUUACCCUCUCUGCAUCACGACUAAGUUCACUUUUAUCCGUGAAUUUAAAUUCAAUUUAAAGUUCAGAGUAAAUGUGGUUGUGUAGUUUUUGAUUAUCAUGUAUGUCUGUUUUUUUUUAAGGGUCAUUAAAAAAAAGUAAUCAUAUUUAAUAUUAAGUCUUUAAUCAUUUUUCCAACCUUAAUAACUUUUUAUUUUUACUUUUUACUAUUUUUCCAUUUUUAACCGACUAUAAGGCGCACCGGAUUAUAAGGCGCAUUUUAAGCGACACUAGUAAGGAACAAGGGUGUUGCCAUGGUGUUAAUCUACACAGAUUUCUCUCCUAUAAACUGUUUAUUUGGGUGAGUAAAGCCCUUCAGUUUAUUUACAGUAAGCGUAGAUUUUAAAUAUUUUAAACAGCACGGUUAGCAGCGCUUAGGCUACAUUCCGAUAUAUACUCACCUCUGAACGGCAAAAGAGCUAGCGCUGCGGUAGCAGCUAAUGCUAAUGCUGCUCCAGCCUUAGUGCUGGAGAAACUUUACUGAAACUCCUGUAUAACUCUGUACUUCAGCAGAGUGGCUUUACUGCUCCUUAAUACUUGACUGGUAGAAUUCAUACAUAAUAAGGAGCACAGACGAUUUUUU